ensembl:misc_RNA Metazoa_SRP Metazoan signal recognition particle RNA
GCUGGGCAUGGUGGCACAUACCUGUAGUCCUAGCUACUCAGGAGGCUGAGGUGAGAGGAUUGCUUGAGCCCAGGAGGUUGAGGCUGCAGUGAGCCAUGAUCGUGCCACUGCACUCCAGCCUGGGCAAUAAAGUGAGACCGUGCCUCAA